rnacentral:rRNA from 1 species
GAUGAACGCUGGCGGCGUGCCUAAUACAUGCAAGUCGAGCGAACGGACGAGAAGCUUGCUUCUCUGAUGUUAGCGGCGGACGGGUGAGUAACACGUGGAUAACCUACCUAUAAGACUGGGAUAACUUCGGGAAACCGGAGCUAAUACCGGAUAAUAUUUUGAACCGCAUGGUUCAAAAGUGAAAGACGGUCUUGCUGUCACUUAUAGAUGGAUCCGCGCUGCAUUAGCUAGUUGGUAAGGUAACGGCUUACCAAGGCAACGAUGCAUAGCCGACCUGAGAGGGUGAUCGGCCACACUGGAACUGAGACACGGUCCAGACUCCUACGGGAGGCAGCAGUAGGGAAUCUUCCGCAAUGGGCGAAAGCCUGACAGAGCAACGCCGCGUGAGUGAUGAAGGUCUUCGGAUCGUAAAACUCUGUUAUUAGGGAAGAACAUAUGUGUAAGUAACUGUGCACAUCUUGGCGGUACCUAAUCAGAAAGCCACGGCUAACUACGUG